rnacentral:rRNA from 1 species
AUGGCUGGAAUGUUCAACAAGGAGUUUGCUGAGUUGGCCCAGACAGGGCUGAACUACCUGUCAUGGUCCUCGGACUGCGAGAUCUUUCUCCAGGGCAAAACCCUCCUGAGGGCGAUCGGUAAGGGGGUCCAGCUGGCCCCCACUGAUCCCAAGUUCGAAACUGAGAAUGCGUAGGCUCUGCACUUUCUCCGUCAUCACCUAUCACCUACUCUGAAAGAUGAGUAUAUGGCUGAGUGCAGUAGUUCUGGCCUUUGGACCACACUUAAGCAGCGGUUUGAGCAGCUGAAGUACACUGUGAAGCCACGUGCAGAGGCAGAGUGGAUCCGUCUGAGGUUUGCGGACUUCAAGAUGAAGAUUGAGAAAACCCUAUCCACUUUCCACCCCUACACGGUCCAGUCCUCACGGAACUACCGCCAGGGGAACUACACGAGGUAUUCAGAGUUGAUUGGCGUCCUCCAGGUGGCGGAGGCGCAGGACGAGGUUCUCAAAAAGAACUUUGUCGCGCAACCACUAGGGGGGAGUUCUCGCCAGGAGGUGAACGCUCUCAAAGUCCGCAAGCCUCAACAGAAGAAGGGGGGCCGCAAGGCGGCUAAGCAGCACAAGCCGGGCAAGGGAGGGCAGAGGCCUCAGAACUGCUUCCGUUGUGGCUCAGUGGAGCAUUUCUCCCGCCAGUGCCGCGCACCACCGGAGGUCGUUGAAGCAUACAAGGCUCGGAAGGCGCGUGAGACGCACCUCGCCUUGGUUCAGGAGGGAGCACCACCGGCGCCCAUGGCAGCACCAAAGAUGAUCUCUAUGCCCCCUGCGCGCCCAUAG